rnacentral:rRNA from 1 species
GACGAACGCUGGCGGCGUGCUUAACACAUGCAAGUCGAACGGUGAAGCGCCUUCCUUUUUGGUGGGUGUGGAUGAGUGGCGAACGGGUGAGUAACACGUGAGUAACCUGCCCCCUUCUUCUGCAUAACCGCAUUAAAGUGUGUCUAAUACGGGAUAUUCUGGGUCUGUCGCAUGAUGGGUCUGGGUAAGAUAUUGUGUCGGUGGUGGAGGGGCUCGCGGGCGUUAAGCUUGUUGGUGGGGUGAUGGACUUUCAAGGGGGGGCGGUGUAGGCGGGCUGGGGGGGUAGCCGGCCAGACUGGGUCAGAGGCCCGGUCGGGACUCAGACAGGACGCAGCAGUGGAGGGUAUUGCACAGUGGGCGAAAGCCUAAUGCGGCGAGGCCGCGUGAGGGAUGAAGGCCUGUGGGUUGUGAACCUCUUUCGCCAGUGAAGCGGGCCUGCCUCGUUUGUAGGUGGGUUGACGGUAGCUGGAAAAGAAGCGCCGGCUAACUACGUG